rnacentral:rRNA from 1 species
UACGGAGGGUGCAAGCGUUGCUCGGAAUCACUGGGCGUAAAGCGACCGCAGGCGGCCUGACAAGUCGGAUGUGAAAGCCCUGGGCUCAACUCAGGAAUUGCAUUCGAAACUGGUAGGCUCGAGUACGGGAGAGGGGGGUGGAAUUCCUGGUGUAGGGGUGAAAUUCGUUGAUAUCAGGAGGAACACCGGCGGCGAAGGUGGCCCCCUGGCCCGCAACUGACGCUCAUGGUCGAAAGCGUGGGGAGCAAACAGG